rnacentral:rRNA from 1 species
UUACGCUGUUAUCCCUAAGGUAAUUUAAUCUUAUAAUCAAAAUAAAUGGAUCAAACAACUAUAAAUCAAUAUAACCUAAAACCAAGGAGGAGUUAAACUAUAUUCCUCUCAUCACCCCAACAAAACAAAAAGCCCACUUACCAAAAACAAAACAAACAACAUAAAUAAAUAAGCCAAAUGUUAAACUCUAUAGGGUCUUCUCGUCCCAUAAAAACAUCUAAGAAUUUUAACUCAAAGACCAAAUUCAAUAAAACAUUCAUCACUAAGACAGCCAGUGCCUCGUCAAGCCAUUCAUUCCAGAUCACAAUUAAAGAACUAAUGAUUAUGCUACCUUUGCACGGUCAAAAUACCGCGGCCCUUCAACACUCAAGUCAGCGGGCAGGCCAUACUUCAAAAACUAACAAGAAAAGAUGUUUUUGAUAAACAGGCG